CUCGCAGUCCCCCACCCAGAUGGGCCGCCCAAACCCCUGGCCGCCGCCGGGCCCUCCAGACCCCCAGGAACCGCACGGAGCCCAGCUGGACGCCCGGGGCAUGAAUAUUUCAGUGCUGGAGAAGCUGCCUUCUGCCGAUGUCAUGGCACCGGCUGCUGUGGCAACUCGACGAAUCCCCCAAAGGCCCAGGGAUGAAGCCCGUGGAAGCGGCCCCAGACUCAGACUGUCUGCAGCCACUUCCCAUGUGAAGAAAACAACACUGAGCUCAGGGAGAACAUCCCCUCCUCAGAUGUGGGCAUUGUGCUUCUGUUCAUAGGGCCUCUUCAUUCAGUGACAGCCACUUUCAUUGCCCAAGCAUCUCUCAAGUGCCCACUCUGUGCCAAGCAUUAUGCUAGGACCUGGGAUAUCAGUCAAGUUUCGACCAGCCCACAG
ensembl:lncRNA